GUUGGCCCUAGGAGGUAAAAUGCUCACAUUCUACCAUGACCUCACAAAGGCAACACUUCUGCAACGCAAAGCUUUUGGCACUGUCACAACUCCGAGCAGCAAACCUGGCCUACAAAUGGGGAGCAAACUGUACAAUCAUACUCACCUGAGAUGGGACUACUCAUACACUAACAGCAAUGAAUGAGGCACCAACAUUCCUACAUAAC